rnacentral:lncRNA from 1 species
GGAGUUAGGAACAGACUAUAAGAAAUGGUUGGUCUGGAGGAAAAAGGGUAAAACUUAUGAUAGAAAUGGAAGUUUCUGCUGUUUAUAAACUGGAAAUAAUGAUACAUGUCCUGACUCCUAUUGGGUUGUUGCAAAGGAAUCAAUUGAAAUAAGACAAGACUUUCUGAAGGCACUUUGCCAACUUUCAGAACUGUAAAGAUUAAGGGACUGCUACUAUGUGCUGCUCAGGAAAUAACAGGCACCUGGGAAAACCCACGAAGUAAGGUUUUGUAAGAAGUUGCUCUGCUCCCUGGGAGAAAACGCGGAGCUCAACACUGCCAAGAGGAACAAGUCUGGGAAAUUACGACAUGAACGUGCACUGCAGCAGCACCGGGACUUGACAGCCCUACGGCUCGAUCAGCUUUCUGUUUUCAUUGCCUUACGAUGCCAUGAGUGGAACUAUUGUCAAAUCAGAGUUCACUCCCCAGCUUUUCAGUCUUUCCCCUAAUUCUUGCUCUAUCAGAGGUCGAGGACAACAGUAUAAUGAUUCAUAGGUUCUACUUCCUGGCAAGUAAUCAUUUUCCCACGGGCCCUUGUGAAUUGAUGAAUAUGAAGACACUAAGAAAGCAGAAAUAGAACUGAGAAGAAUGAAAUAACUGUCUCUACCUUUCUCGAAUUGUCUAAUAUGGAAAGAAUGAAAGACAGCUAAUAAGCAACUCUCUGCAAGAAGACAUAUGGCUUAGGUUCUGCUGAGCUAUUGGUGAUUUGAUUCCAUGCAUAUGUAUUCACUACUGCAGGCCUAGGAAAACACCAGGACUAACCCCCUGGAGGGAGCCUAGCUUCAGGAUUAAUUAGGGCUUGAUUAAUUAAUUAAGGUAUGAAUCGAGGGCUUAAACAGUAGUUAACUAAGAAAUAUGUAUUUGUUUUACAAAAGUUAAAAUUGAGAUGGGAUCUUGCUAUGUGGCCCAGGCUGGCCUCAAACUCCUGAAUCUACUUGGAGAGAGUCAAACACAGAAUCCCUUUGAAUUUAAUGGCCAUUCCAGGUGAUUUGAACAGCCAAAUAAGAAACAGGUCCUCUUCAAUGUACAAUCUGCCAAG